AUUGAACGCUGGCGGCAGGCCUAACACAUGCAAGUCGAGCGGAGCUGCGGACGGGUGAGUAAUGCCUAGGAAUCUGCCUUGUAGUGGGGGAUAACGUCCGGAAACGGGCGCUAAUACCGCAUACUAUCAGAUGAGCCUAGGUCGGAUUAGCGAGUUGGUGGGGUAAAGGCCUACCAAGGCGACGAUCCGUACCUGGUCUGAGAGGAUGAUCAGUAACACUGGAAAGAAGACACGGUCAAGAAUCCGAAGGGAGGCAGCAGUGGAGAAUAUUGGACAAUGGGCAAAAGCCUGUUCCAGCCAUGGGGCGUGAGUGAAGAAGGUCUUCGGAUUGUAAAGCACGUUAAGUUGGGAGGCGGUACCAACAGAAUAAGCACCGGCUAACUUCGUGCCAGCCGCCGCGGUAAUAC
rnacentral:rRNA from 1 species